CCUCCUCCUCUGCGUAUUGGUACAAGUUCCAAGUCAUGAACUAGAAAUGGCCUUUCAUCAUUAAACUGGGCUCUCCAACUAGUGGUACAAAAUAUUCCAUUUCGAUCACAACGAAGGAUGGCAUGUUGCCUCUUGAUAUGUCUCCAAGUGCUUAGCCACAACCAUUUUUGCCUCUUUUAGCACCUUCGCCAUUGACGCCUUUCAAAAACUAUUAUAUGCC